UACGGAGGGAGCUAGCGUUGUUCGGAAUUACUGGGCGUAAAGCGCACGUAGGCGGCUUUGUAAGUUAGAGGUGAAAGCCCGGGGCUCAACUCCGGAACUGCCUUUAAGACUGCAUUGCUUGAGUCCGGGAGAGGUGAGUGGAAUUCCCAGUGUAGCGGUGAAAUGCGUAGAUAUUGGGAGGAACACCAGUGGCGAAGGCGGCUCACUGGACCGGAACUGACGCUGAGGCGCGAAAGCGUGGGGAGCAAACAGG
rnacentral:rRNA from 1 species